GAUGAACGCUGGCGGCGUGCUUAACACAUGCAAGUCGAACGAAGCAUCUGCGACAGAUUUUUUCGGAAUGAAGUUGCUUAUGACUGAGUGGCGGACGGGUGAGUAACGCGUGGGUAACCUGCCUUGUACUGGGGGAUAGCAGCUGGAAACGGCUGGUAAUACCGCAUAAGCGCACAAUGUUGCAUGACAUGGUGUGAAAAACUCCGGUGGUAUAAGAUGGACCCGCGUCUGAUUAGCUAGUUGGUGAGAUAACAGCCCACCAAGGCGACGAUCAGUAGCCGACCUGAGAGGGUGACCGGCCACAUUGGGACUGAGACACGGCCCAGACUCCUACGGGAGGCAGCAGUGGGGAAUAUUGCACAAUGGAGGAAACUCUGAUGCAGCGACGCCGCGUGAGUGAAGAAGUAAUUCGUUAUGUAAAGCUCUAUCAGCAGGGAAGAUAGUGACGGUACCUGACCAAGAAGCUCCGGCUAAAUACGUG
rnacentral:rRNA from 1 species